rfam:Homo sapiens chromosome 3, GRCh38 reference primary assembly.
GCUGGGCAUGCUGGUGCACACCUGUAGUCCCAGCUACUCAGGAGGCUGAGGCAGGAGGAUUGCUUGAGUCCAGGAGUUCAAGGCUGCAGUGUACUAUGAUUGUGACAUUGCACUCCAGCCUGGGCUACAGAGCUAGACCCCAUCUCUU